CCAAAGCCAUGCCUUGACUCUGUCGCACCAGCAGGGCGGAGCCAGAGCACCCUGAUUGCCCCCUUUCCCUUGGGGAAGGUGGGGAGUUGGGGAGGUAGGGAAGGGGAGGUGUUAAAGAGAGGAAACACAUCCCAGUGUGAACUUCGAAGACCUUGCUAAAGCUCCAAACUCCGCUAAGAAAUCCCUUGAAUGAUCCACAUAAAUCACUCAACUCUUGCGAUUCCGAUGCCGGUGCACCCCGUAGGCAUUCAAUAAAUACUUAUUGACUGAAUAA